rnacentral:rRNA from 1 species
ACUGGGACUGAGACACGGCCCAGACUCCUACGGGAGGCAGCAGUAGGGAAUCUUCCGCAAUGGACGAAAGUCUGACGGAGCAACGCCGCGUGAGUGAUGAAGGCUUUCGGGUCGUAAAACUCUGUUGUUAGGGAAGAACAAGUGCUAGUUGAAUAAGCUGGCACCUUGACGGUACCUAACCAGAAAGCCACGGCUAACUACGUGCCAGCAGCCGCGGUAAUACGUAGGUGGCAAGCGUUAUCCGGAAUUAUUGGGCGUAAAGCGCGCGCAGGUGGUUUCUUAAGUCUGAUGUGAAAGCCCACGGCUCAACCGUGGAGGGUCAUUGGAAACUGGGAGACUUGAGUGCAGAAGAGGAAAGUGGAAUUCCAUGUGUAGCGGUGAAAUGCGUAGAGAUAUGGAGGAACACCAGUGGCGAAGGCGACUUUCUGGUCUGUAACUGACACUGAGGCGCGAAAGCGUGGGGAGCAAACAGGAUAAGAUACCCUGGUAGUCCACGCCGUAAACGAUGAGUGCUAAGUGUUAGAGGGUUUCCGCCCUUUAGUGA